rnacentral:rRNA from 1 species
UACAGGGGGUGCAAACGUUGCUCGGAAUCAUUGGGCGUAAAGCGCACGUAGGCGGUUCGUUAUGUCGGAUGUGAAAGCCCUUGGCUUAACCGAGGAAGUGGCAUCCGAAACUGGCGAGCUAGAGUACGAAAGAGGAUCGCGGAAUUCCCGGUGUAGAGGUGAAAUUCGUAGAUAUCGGGAGGAACACCGGUGGCGAAGGCGGCGAUCUGGGUCGAUACUGACGCUGAGGUGCGAAAGCGUGGGGAGCAAACAGG